UACGAAGGGGGCUAGCGUUGCUCGGAAUCACUGGGCGUAAAGCGCACGUAGGCGGAUUGUUAAGUCAGGGGUGAAAUCCUGGAGCUCAACUCCAGAACUGCCUUUGAUACUGGCGAUCUUGAGUCCGGGAGAGGUGAGUGGAACUGCGAGUGUAGAGGUGAAAUUCGUAGAUAUUCGCAAGAACACCAGUGGCGAAGGCGGCUCUCUGGGCCUUUCCUGACGCUGAGACGCGAAAGCGUGGGGAGCGAACCGG
rnacentral:rRNA from 1 species